UACGGAGGGGGUUAGCGUUGUUCGGAAUGACUGGGCGUAAAGCGCGCGUAGGCGGAUCAGGAAGUUGGGGGUGAAAUCCCGGGGCUCAACCCCGGAAUGGCCUUCAAAACUCCUGGUCUUGAGUUCGAGAGAGGUGAGUGGAAUUCCGAGUGUAGAGGUGAAAUUCGUAGAUAUUCGGAGGAACACCAGUGGCGAAGGCGGCUCACUGGCCCGGUACUGACGCUGAGGUGCGAAAGCGUGGGGAGCAAACAGG
rnacentral:rRNA from 1 species